rnacentral:rRNA from 1 species
GCGGGUACGGGUGCGGAACACGUGCUGCCAACAUGCCUUUAUCUCGGGGGAUCAGCCUUCUCCGAAAGGAAAGAUUUCAAAAUUUAACCCCAUCAAUAUCGUNCGAAUCGGAUCAUUCGAGGAUUGAAAAACUCCGGUGGAUCAGAGAUCGGGCACGCGCAAGAUUCACGAUAGUUCGGUGAGGUAACGGCUCACCAAGUCUACGAUCUCUCUAGGGGGCCUCGAGAGGGUUGAUCCCCCAACAUUGGUCACUUGAAGACAUCCGGAANCAAGACUCCCUCACGGGAAGGCAGCAAAGUCGAGGACAUCAUCGGACAAUCGGGUCGAGAGCCUCGAUCCAGCCAUACCCGCGUGANAGGACGAAUGACCUUAUCGGGUUCGUCACAACUUUACUCUAAUACGUAAUCACGGGAUUCAACUUAUACCUCAGUGAGGGUCAACUCGAAACGCGGGUUUCAACAUUAAUUAAGCCCGGAAAAUUUCAAAGGGUCCACCCCUGGGACGUUUAACAAACUUCCCACCUGUAUGGCCCAAAGAGCACAAGGACCCAAGGUACGNGGNUAAACAUUCACACGGCGGGAAAGUAGGUUGGCAAAAUAC